rnacentral:rRNA from 1 species
CACGUAGGGCGCAAGCGUUGUCCGGAAUUAUUGGGCGUAAAGAGCUCGUAGGCGGUCUGUUGCGUCCGCUGUGAAAACUCGGGGCUUAACCCCGAGCCUGCAGUGGAUACGGGCAGACUAGAGGUAGGUAGGGGAGAAUGGAAUUCCUGGUGUAGCGGUGAAAUGCGCAGAUAUCAGGAGGAACACCGGUGCGAAGGCGGCUCUCUGGACCGUAACUGACGCUGAGGCGCGAAAGCGUGGGGAGCAAACAGG